rnacentral:rRNA from 1 species
UUAUAUGCUUGUCUCAAAGAUUAAGCCAUGCAUGUCUCAGUGCAAGCCACAUUAAGGUGAAACCGCGAAUGGCUCAUUACAUCAGUUAUGGUUCCUUAGAUCGUACCCACAUUACUUGGAUAACUGUGGUAAUUCUAGAGCUAAUACAUGCAAAUAGAGUUCCGACCAGAGAUGGAAGGAAUGCUUUUAUUAGAUCAAAACCAAUCGGUGGCGGGCUUGCCUUGCCACCGUUUGACUUGGUGACUCUGAAUAACUUUGUGCUGAUCGCACGGUCUCGUACCGGCGACGCAUCUUUCAAAUGUCUGCCUUAUCAACUGUCGAUGGUAGUUUCUGCGACUACCAUGGUUGUUACGGGUAACGGGGAAUCAGGGUUCGAUUCCGGAGAGGGAGCCUGAGAAACGGCUACCACAUCCAAGGAAGGCAGCAGGCGCGCAAAUUACCCACUCCCGGCACGGGGAGGUAGUGACGAAAAAUAACGAUACGGGACUCAUCCGAGGCCCCGUAAUCGGAAUGAGUACACUUUAAAUCCUUUAACGAUUAACAAUUGGAGGGAAAGCCUGGUGCCAGCAGCCGCGGUAAUUCCAGCUCCAAUAGCGUAUAUUAAAGUUGUUGCGGUUAAAAAGCUCGUAGUUGAAUCUGUGUCCCACACUGUCGGUUCACCGCUCGCGGUGUCCAACUGGCAUGUUCGUGGGACGUCCUACCGGUGGGCGCAGCCCCUCAAAAGGCGGCCCAACUCAAAAUCCUACCACGGUGCUCUUCACCGAGUGUCGAGGUGGGCCGGUACGUUUACUUUGAACAAAUUAGAGUGCUUAAAGCAGGCUCAUUUGCCUGAAUAUUGUGUGCAUGGAAUAAUGGAAUAGGACCUCGGUUCUAUUUUGUUGGUUUUCGGAACUCCGAGGUAAUGAUUAAUAGGGACAACUGGGGGCAUUCGUAUUGCGACGUUAGAGGUGAAAUUCUUGGAUCGUCGCAAGACGGACAGAAGCGAAAGAAAUGUGUUUUCAUCAAUCAAGAACGAAAGUUAGAGGUUCGAAG